AUGGAUUCAAAAGUGCGAGGUUUGCUUCAUUCUGUAGGAACUAUGGAUGCAAAACUGCAAAGUUUUGCUUCUACUACUUCCAAUUCUCAUAAGAUGCUAAAGAACUACAAUAGAGUUAUGAAAAAGUUGCUACAGGCUGAUUAUAGCACACAAUGUUACUGGGGAAUCUUGGGAGGAAAUAAAUUAGCACCAUUUAUUGGGAACUCAUAUGCCCCUUUUUGUUUGCAAAAUGUUUGGAUCUACUAUCUAGGUUUGCAUAUUGUUGUAUGUGUCAUUCGGGAAAACAUGUCACUAAUCCUUUGUGCCACUUUCAAUGGCCAAAGACCAAAAUACCCUUGUUUGAUGGUUAGUCAGUGCCUCAGUGGCAACCUUGACUUGAAUUAA
rnacentral:rRNA from 1 species